AUGUUGAUUUGUGUUGUUUUUUUCCCCAGGACGGAACUUCUUAUUGUUGUUAUUCAUAAACAUUGUUGGUUUCCAGAAUGGUUUAGAAGUCAAAAUAUAGUUCCAUACUGUAUCUUGCAAUAUUCUUUAUUAAAUAAAGCCUUGAUUAUUUCUUUUAUCAUAGCUUCUAAUGAAAUACAUCCACUUCCUUCUGGAACCAGAAUCUUUGAUGCUCCAAAAAGUCCAUUGACAGAACUUGCUACUCAGAGUCCAACCUUGAAAUCUGUAUCUCUACCUUCAGCAGAUAACAGAGAGAUGGAGAUAGCUUUUGAUGAAAUGCAGCCUAUUUCGUCAAGAUCCAAACCAUCUGGUACCACAGAAGUGCAACCCACAAAAUCUGCUUCAAAUGGCUUUCUUCAUGUUACUUCUACCCCUCAAACUUUUACAGCUUCAGAAGUGACAGACUCUGGUAAAUGACACUAAUAUUAUUUUAGAAGCAUAAUCUUUUUUGUGUAUUUUUUUGUGCUGAAAGUUAUUAGUGAUUUUAGAUAGUUAUUCUAUACUACCUGCGUUGGAUGUUGCAGUAUGUGUUAAUUAUUCAAAUCGUAUAACAGUGUCUUAAUUUCUGGGACCAAGCACAACCCAGAUGAAAAGCAAGACUGCAACUAGCACUCAGCUGAAUAGAGCAGUAUUGAUCUAAUAAAUUCAUCAAAAGAUAUAAAUUUUGUAAGGUG
rnacentral:lncRNA from 1 species